rnacentral:rRNA from 1 species
UCACACUAUCAUUAACUGAAUCCAUAGGUUAAUGAGGCGAACCGGGGGAACUGAAACAUCUAAGUACCCCGAGGAAAAGAAAUCAACCGAGAUUCCCCCAGUAGCGGCGAGCGAACGGGGAGGAGCCCAGAGCCUGAAUCAGCAUGUGUGUUAGUGGAAGCGUCUGGAAAGGCGCGCGAUACAGGGUGACAGCCCCGUACACAAAAGCGCAUGUGCUGUGAGCUCGAUGAGUAGGGCGGGACACGUGGUAUCCUGUCUGAAUAUGGGGGGACCAUCCUCCAAGGCUAAAUACUCCUGACUGACCGAUAGUGAACCAGUACCGUGAGGGAAAGGCGAAAAGAACCCCGGCGAGGGGAGUGAAAAAGAACCUGAAACCGUGUACGUACAAGCAGUGGGAGCACAGGUUUACCUGUGUGACUGCGUACCUUUUGUAUAAUGGGUCAGCGACUUAUAUUCUGUAGCAAGGUUAACCGUAUAGGGGAGCCGUAGGGAAACCGAGUCUUAACCGGGCGUUAAGUUGCAGGGUAUAGACCCGAAACCCGGUGAUCUAGCCAUGGGCAGGUUGAAGGUUGGGUAACACUAACUGGAGGACCGAACCGACUAAUGUUGAAAAAUUAGCGGAUGACCUGUGGCUGGGGGUGAAAGGCCAAUCAAACCGGGAGAUAGCUGGUUCUCCCCGAAAGCUAUUUAGGUAGCGCCUCGUGAAUUCAUCUCCGGGGGUAGAGCACUGUUUCGGCUAGGGGGCCAUCCCGGCUUACCAACCCGAUGCAAACUGCGAAUACCGGAGAAUGUUAUCACGGGAGACACACGGCGGGUGCUAACGUCCGUCGUGAAGAGGGAAACAACCCAGACCGCCAGCUAAGGUCCCAAAGUCAUGGUUAAGUGGGAAACGAUGUGGGAAGGCCCAGACAGCCAGGAUGUUGGCUUAGAAGCAGCCAUCAUUUAAAGAAAGCGUAAUAGCUCACUGGUCGAGUCGGCCUGCGCGGAAGAUGUAACGGGGCUAAACCAUGCACCGAAGCUGCGGCAGCGAACGUAUCACCCAAGACAACUUUACGGAGUUGACGAUUGACGGAGCGAAGCGACGUCAAAGCGUUCAUUAAAGUCGAGUUGGCUUAGGGAUACGUUCGUUGGGUAGGGGAGCGUUCUGUAAGCCUGUGAAGGUGUGUCGUGAGGCAUGCUGGAGGUAUCAGAAGUGCGAAUGCUGACAUAAGUAACGAUAAAGCGGGUGAAAAGCCCGCUCGCCGGAAGACCAAGGGUUCCUGUCCAACGUUAAUCGGGGCAGGGUGAGUCGACCCCUAAGGCGAGGCCGAAAGGCGUAGUCGAUGGGAAACGGGUUAAUAUUCCCGUACUUGGUGUUACUGCGAAGGGGGGACGGAGAAGGCUAUGUUGGCCGGGCGACGGUUGUCCCGGUUUAAGCGUGUAGGUGUGUGUUCCAGGUAAAUCCGGUUCACUUUAACACUGAGGCGUGACGACGAGGCACUACGGUGCUGAAGCAACAAAUGCCCUGCUUCCAGGAAAAGCCUCUAAGCAUCAGGUAACAUCAAAUCGUACCCCAAACCGACACAGGUGGUCAGGUAGAGAAUACCAAGGCGCUUGAGAGAACUCGGGUGAAGGAACUAGGCAAAAUGGUGCCGUAACUUCGGGAGAAGGCACGCUGACACGUAGGUGAAGUGAUUUACUCAUGGAGCUGAAGUCAGUCGAAGAUACCAGCUGGCUGCAACUGUUUAUUAAAAACACAGCACUGUGCAAACACGAAAGUGGACGUAUACGGUGUGACGCCUGCCCGGUGCCGGAAGGUUAAUUGAUGGGGUCAGCGCAAGCGAAGCUCCUGAUCGAAGCCCCGGUAAACGGCGGCCGUAACUAUAACGGUCCUAAGGUAGCGAAAUUCCUUGUCGGGUAAGUUCCGACCUGCACGAAUGGCGUAAUGAUGGCCAGGCUGUCUCCACCCGAGACUCAGUGAAAUUGAACUCGCUGUGAAGAUGCAGUGUACCCGCGGCAAGACGGAAAGACCCCGUGAACCUUUACUAUAGCUUGACACUGAACAUUGAGCCUUGAUGUGUAGGAUAGGUGGGAGGCUUUGAAGUGUGGACGCCAGUCUGCAUGGAGCCGACCUUGAAAUACCACCCUUUAAUGUUUGAUGUUCUAACGUGGACCCGUAAUCCGGGUUGCGGACAGUGUCUGGUGGGUAGUUUGACUGGGGCGGUCUCCUCCUAAAGAGUAACGGAGGAGCACGAAGGUUGGCUAAUCCUGGUCGGACAUCAGGAGGUUAGUGCAAUGGCAUAAGCCAGCUUGACUGCGAGCGUGACGGCGCGAGCAGGUGCGAAAGCAGGUCAUAGUGAUCCGGUGGUUCUGAAUGGAAGGGCCAUCGCUCAACGGAUAAAAGGUACUCCGGGGAUAACAGGCUGAUACCGCCCAAGAGUUCAUAUCGACGGCGGUGUUUGGCACCUCGAUGUCGGCUCAUCACAUCCUGGGGCUGAAGUAGGUCCCAAGGGUAUGGCUGUUCGCCAUUUAAAGUGGUACGCGAGCUGGGUUUAGAACGUCGUGAGACAGUUCGGUCCCUAUCUGCCGUGGGCGCUGGAGAACUGAGGGGGGCUGCUCCUAGUACGAGAGGACCGGAGUGGACGCAUCACUGGUGUUCGGGUUGUCAUGCCAAUGGCACUGCCCGGUAGCUAAAUGCGGAAGAGAUAAGUGCUGAAAGCAUCUAAGCACGAAACUUGCCCCGAGAUGAGUUCUCCCUGAGACUUAGAGUCUCCUGAAGGAACGUUGAAGACGACGACGUUGAUAGGCCGGGUGUGUAAGCGCAGCGAUGCGUUGAGCUAACCGGUACUAAUGAACCGUGAGGCUUAACCUUACAACGCCGAAG